rnacentral:rRNA from 1 species
UAACACAUGCAAGUCGCGGGGCAGCAUGGGGGUUGCUUGCAAUCCCCGAUGGCGACCGGCGCACGGGUGAGUAACGCGUAUCCAACCUGCCCUUCACCACGGGAUAACCCGGCGAAAGUCGGACUAAUACCGUAUGUUGUCCAUUGACGGCAUCCGAUUUGGACGAAAGGCUUUGCGGUGAAGGAUGGGGAUGCGUCCGAUUAGCCAGACGGCGGGGUAACGGCCCACCGUGGCUACGAUCGGUAGGGGUUCUGAGAGGAAGGUCCCCCACACUGGAACUGAGACACGGUCCAGACUCCUACGGGAGGCAGCAGUGAGGAAUAUUGGUCAAUGGGCGUAAGCCUGAACCAGCCAAGUAGCGUGCAGGAUGACGGCCCUAUGGGUUGUAAACUGCUUUUAUGCGGGGAUAAAGUGGCCCACGUGUGGGUUUUUGCAGGUACCGCAUGAAUAAGGACCGGCUAAUUCCGUGCCAGCAGCCGCGGUAAUACGGAAGGUCCGGGCGUUAUCCGGAUUUAUUGGGUUUAAAGGGAGCGUAGGCCGCGCCUUAAGCGUGUUGUGAAAUCCGGGUGCUCAACAUCCGGCUUGCAGCGCGAACUGGGGCGCUUGAGUGCGCUGAAAGUAGGCGGAAUUCGUGGUGUAGCGGUGAAAUGCUUAGAUAUCACGAGGAACUCCGAUUGCGAAGGCAGCCUACUGUAGCGCUACUGACGCUGAUGCUCGAAAGCGUGGGUAUC